GCUGUGUUCGCUUCAGUAGCACAUACUAAAAUUGGAAUGACACAGAGAAGAUAAGCCUGGCUCCUGCACAAGGUUGACACGCAAAUUCGUGAAGCAUUCGAAAACACA
ensembl:snRNA U6 U6 spliceosomal RNA